GUUUCGGAUUUAGGAUGUGAUAUUUUAUGGUAUCAGAGCUUAGAUUAUGAUUAUUUGGGACUAUGAUAUAAGUGAUUAGGGCUAAAUAAUAUCAGAGCUUAGAUUAUGAUCAAUAGGGACCGACUUAAAUGGGAUUUAAGUAUAAAGGUUAUGAUCACAAGAAAUAUGAUAGAAGUAGUAGGAAGAAUUCAAAGUCUGGAUUUUAGAUCAAUAAGCAUUAUAAUGAAAUUUUUUUUAUAAAGUGCUAUACGAUGUGUAUUAAAGAAUCGGAUGAAUUAUGUCUUGGAUUUCAAUAAAUAAGGUUUGACCUAAGUAUGAGAGAUGUUGACUCUAGAAUAAAAUAAGAUAUAUUGAUAUAUCGUAUUG
rnacentral:lncRNA from 1 species